rfam:Triticum aestivum genome assembly, contig: Triticum_aestivum_CS42_TGACv1_scaffold_288145_4AL
AACUUACUCCCUCCGUCCGAAAAUACUUGUCAUCAAAAUGAAUAAAAAGGGAUGUAUCUAGAACUAAUACACAUCUAGAUACAUCCCCUUUUAUUCAUUUUGAUGACAAGUAUUUCCGGACGGAGGGAGUACAUA